AUAACUUGAUCCAGAACCUUGCCGUCCAUGGCGGCGCUGCCGCACUGACCUAGCUCUCAUGGCCACAGCUCCACCGGAGAAGUUAGGGUGUAACAAUUUGGUAUCAGAAACGUUCGGUCCUCGGCGCGCUUCGCCAUCUCGCCGCUAGUCAGUAACACCGACCGUUUGGUAGGGGAACACCUUCGGGUCGAUCCCCUUAAAUCCCGACGGCGUUUGACCGACGUAGAGGAAGC
rnacentral:lncRNA from 1 species